rnacentral:rRNA from 1 species
UACGGAGGGUGCAAGCGUUAUCCGGAAUCACUGGGUUUAAAGGGUGCGUAGGCGGUCUGAUAAGUCAGUCGUGAAAUCGCUGGGCUCAACCCAUGCAACUGCGAUUGAUACUGUGAGACUUGAAUCAGGUUGAGGUAGGCGGAAUGUGGCAUGUAGCGGUGAAAUGCUUAGAUAUGCCAUAGAACACCGAUUGCGAAGGCAGCUUGCUGGGCCUGAAUUGACGCUGAGGCACGAAAGCGUGGGGAGCAAACAGG